UACGGAAGGCAGCAGUGGGGAAUAUUGCACAAUGGGCGCAAGCCUGAUGCAGCCAUGCCGCGUGUAUGAAGAAGGCCUUCGGGUUGUAAAGUACUUUCAGUCGUGAGGAAGGUGUUAAGGUUAAUAACCUUAGCAAUUGACGUUAGCGACAGAAGAAGCACCGGCUAACUCCGUGCCAGCAGCCGCGGUAAUACGGAGGGUGCGAGCGUUAAUCGGAAUUACUGGGCGUAAAGGGCACGCAGGCGGUUAAUUAAGUUGGAUGUGAAAUCCCCGGGCUUAACCUGGGAAUGGCAUUCAAGACUGGUUAGCUAGAGUCUUGUAGAGGGGGUAGAAUUCCGAUGUGUAGCGGUGAAAUGCGUAGAGAUGUGGAGGAAUACCGGUGGCGAAGGCGGCCCCUGGACAAAGACUGACGCUCAUGUGCGAAAAGCGUGGGGAGCAAACAGGGAUUAGAUACC
rnacentral:rRNA from 1 species